UCUCUUGCCUAGAAUCCUGGCUCCAAGUUCUCCAUGGCUUGAUUCUGAGUAUGGUUCUGGUAUCUAAAACCAAGAAGGUCCAACAACACAAAGCAGAAACAAACCCCAGGCCAAGAGGAAUCUUAGAAUCAAGACUUUAAGAAGGAGAUCAAAGGGCAUUCCAAAUAUGAACAUUGGAAAUGUAUAAAAGAAAAAUAAGAUCAUCUCCUCAAAGAGCUUAUAACCCAAUAGCAGAAAUAUGACAGAUACACAAGGUAAUAUACGCUGACAGCAAAGGAGAGAUGGAAACAAAGUGCUGCAAGAAACUUUGAGGAGAGAGAAGCUUCAGCAAGAGAACAUUAGGGAAGGUUUCAUGGAGAAAGUGACACCUGAGCAGGACCUUGAAGGAAAAGAAGGAUUUCAAAAGUCACAGAUGAAGAGGAAGUGAAUUCUGGGUCUAGGGCACAGCCUGAACAAAUGUACAGAGGGCUGUCUCGGGGCAGCUAGGUGGUGCAGUGGAUAAAGCGCUGGCCCCGGAUUCAAGAGG